rnacentral:rRNA from 1 species
UUGUGCCCUUGAGGCGUGGCUUCCGGAGCUAACGCGCUAAGUCGACCGCCUGGGGAGUACGGCCGCAAGGUUAAAACUCAAAUGAAUUGACGGGGGCCCGCACAAGCGGUGGAGCAUGUGGUUUAAUUCGAUGCAACGCGAAGAACCUUACCUGGUCUUGACAUCCACAGAACUUUCCAGAGAUGGAUUGGUGCCUUCGGGAACUGUGAGACAGGUGCUGCAUGGCUGUCGUCAGCUCGUGUUGUGAAAUGUUGGGUUAAGUCCCGCAACGAGCGCAACCCUUAUCCUUUGUUGCCAGCGGUCCGGCCGGGAACUCAAAGGAGACUGCCAGUGAUAAACUGGAGGAAGGUGGGGAUGACGUCAAGUCAUCAUGGCCCUUACGACCAGGGCUACACACGUGCUACAAUGGCGCAUACAAAGAGAAGCGACCUCGCGAGAGCAAGCGGACCUCAUAAAGUGCGUCGUAGUCCGGAUUGGAGUCUGCAACUCGACUCCAUGAAGUCGGAAUCGCUAGUAAUCGUGGAUCAGAAUGCCACGGUGAAUACGUUCCCGGGCCUUGUACACACCGCCCGUCACACCAUGGGAGUGGGUUGCAAAAGAAGUAGGUAGCUUAACCUUCGGGAGGGCGCUUACCACUUUGUGAUUCAUGACUGGGGUGAAGUCGUAACAAGGUAACCGUAGGGGAACCUGCGGUUG